rnacentral:lncRNA from 1 species
AGCAAUUUAGUCGUUUUCUGAGUUCUCAGUUGUCCUUUCCUCAACUAGCUGACAUCGUGAUUGAGUGCCGUCCCAGUUCUCUCUGCAGACAGUUUGGUGUUAGAGAAUGGUUUCUCUUGAGAUUGCAGCCGAGAACAAGUCUGAGGACAUCUCGCUUUUCUGUCUGUGGGCUCCUAUCUGAGAUUAUUUCAGUUGUCUCCUCUGUUUGUUAAUAUCUUUAAGUCCCGAUGCAUGGCUGUAUAUCCUAGGUCUUCCGUGUGAGCUGCUGACAGAUGGGUUGUGUGGUUCCACGACCGGGAAACGACACCAAGCUGCCGAAGUGCCCCGCGGUACAUAGUUGUGCAUUUUAGGUUGUGGCUCCCUCCAGCUGUGGCAUGCAGGAUGCCACCCCAGCAUGGCCUGAUGAGCAGUGCCAUCUCCGCACCCGGGACCCAAACUGGCGAAACCUUGGACCACUUAAGAAAAGCACAUGAACCCAGCCACUUGGCCACGGGGCCAGCCCGCCACAUAGUAUUUUUAUGCUUAUCAUGGAUCCUUCUCCCCGCUCCAAGGGUGAAGUGAGUCAGGAUGGUUUGUUCAUGCUGUUCAACAAUUACCAAAGCCUGUCUGCAUUGCUGGUAAAAGUGACUCACAUGCGGUGGCUGGUUCAUGGAACAAGAGCACAGAAAAGUGGUUUUGAUGAAGGUAUGGAGAGAAGCCCAAAGCACCCCUGGAACAGAUGGCAGCUCUGUGAGCAGCUGAGAAGGGCUUUCUUCUUCUCCUAGUGACUCUGCUUCAUAUUUUCCAUCUCUUCUCUUUCCAGGAGCAUUUCCUUCUAAUUCCACACAUUAUGUUAUCAGUAGAGGACGUUUUAGAUACUGGUUAAGAGUUGGACCUGGUGAUUUUUGUGGUUUUUUUUGGCCAUCUUAGUUUAUGUGUUUCAGGCUAAUUUGACCAUACAAGCCAAGGAUCAUCAUUCUGCAGCAAGCCUCAGCAUGCCUCUCCCAUGCUCACUGGCAGCCAUACUCUACAUAUACUGCCCUUGUAUCCACCUUCUGAGAUAGCCUGCAGUUGAAGUCGCCUAACCAAGCAGGAUCCACUCAGUGCCACAGAAGGAGUUAGGCAAUUAUGGAAUCCUCCUUCCUCAUUUGCACUCACGGUACUUGGGGAGAAGACAACAGAGUCUGUUUUUUGGUUUUUUUUUUAAAGAUUUUAUUUUUUCCUUUUUCUCCCCAAAGUCCCCCGGUACAUAGUUGUAUAUUCUUUGUUGUUGGUCCUUCUAGUUGUGGCAUGUGGGACGCUGCCUCAGCGUGGUUUGACGAGCAGUGUCAUGUCCGCGCCCAGGAUACAAACCAACGAAACAAUGGGCCGCCUGCAGCGGAGCGCGCGAACUUAACCGCUCGGCCACGGGGCCAGCCCCACAACAGAGUCUGUUUUGAGAUGGUUGUGUAUGUAGUUGAAUUAAUCUUCUCCCCAGUAGUUUUUUAAUAAUUAUUGCAAAUUUCAAUU